AGUGAACGCUGGCGGUAGGCCUAACACAUGCCAGUCGAACGGCAGCACAGUAAGAGCUUGCUCUUACGGGUGGCGAGUGGCGGACGGGUGAGGAAUACAUCGGAAUCUACUUUUUCGUGGGGGAUAACGUAGGGAAACUUACGCUAAUACCGCAUACGACCUACGGGUGAAAGCAGGGGAUCUUCGGACCUUGCGCGAUUGAAUGAGCCGAUGUCGGAUUAGCUAGUUGGCGGGGUAAAGGCCCACCAAGGCGACGAUCCGUAGCUGGUCUGAGAGGAUGAUCAGACACACUGGAACUGAGACACGGUCCAGACUCCUACGGGAGGCAGCAGUGGGGAAUAUUGGACAAUGGGCGCAAGCCUGAUCCAGCCAUACCGCGUGGGUGCAGAAGGCCUUCGGGUUGUAAAGCCCUUUUGUUGGGAAAGAAAGGCAGCAGGUUAAUACCCCGCUGUUCUGACGGUACCCAAAGAAUAAGCACCGGCUAACCUCGUG
rnacentral:rRNA from 1 species